GAAGCGAACGCGGUGAACUGAAACAUCUAAGUAACCGCAGGAAAAGAAAUCAACCGAGAUUCCCAAAGUAGUGGCGAGCGAAAUGGGAUGAGCCUUGUACUCUUUAUUUGUAUUGUUAGCCGAACGCUCUGGAAAGUGCGGCCAUAGCAGGUGAUAGCCCUGUAGGCGAAAACAGUAUGAAAGAACUAGGUGUACGACAAGUAGGGCGGGACACGUGAAAUCCUGUCUGAAGAUGGGGGGACCAUCCUCCAAGGCUAAAUACUCGUGAUCGACCGAUAGUGAACCAGUACCGUGAGGGAAAGGCGAAAAGAACCCCGGGAGGGGAGUGAAAUAGAUCCUGAAACCGCAUGCAUACAAACAGUCGGAGCCUCUUCGGGGGUGACGGCGUACCUUUUGUAUAAUGGGUCAGCGACUUACGUUCAGUAGCAAGCUUAACCGUAUAGGGCAGGCGUAGCGAAAGCGAGUCCGAAUAGGGCGUUCAGUUGCUGGGCGUAGACCCGAAACCAGGUGAUCUAUCCAUGGCCAGGAUGAAGGUGCGGUAACACGUACUGGAGGUCCGAACCCACUAACGUUGAAAAGUUAGGGGAUGAGCUGUGGAUAGGGGUGAAAGGCUAAACAAACCUGGAAAUAGCUGGUUCUCUCCGAAAACUAUUUAGGUAGUGCCUCGUGUCUCACCUUCGGGGGUAGAGCACUGUCAUGGUUGGGGGGUCUAUUGCAGAUUACCCCGCCAUAGCAAACUCCGAAUACCGAAGAGUGCAAUCACGGGAGACAGACAUCGGGUGCUAACGUCCGGUGUCAAGAGGGAAACAACCCAGACCGCCAGCUAAGGUCCCCAAAUAUGGCUAAGUGGGAAACGAAGUGGGAAGGCUAAAACAGUCAGGAGGUUGGCUUAGAAGCAGCCACCCUUUAAAGAAAGCGUAAUAGCUCACUGAUCGAGUCGUCCUGCGCGGAAGAUGUAACGGGGCUAAGCCAUAUACCGAAGCUGCGGAUGCGAGCUAGUCUCGCAUGGUAGGAGAGCGUUCCGUAAGCCUGCGAAGGUGCCUUGUAAAGGGUGCUGGAGGUAUCGGAAGUGCGAAUGC
rnacentral:rRNA from 1 species